rnacentral:rRNA from 1 species
UACGUAGGGGGCAAGCGUUAUCCGGAAUUACUGGGUGUAAAGGGUGAGUAGGCGGUUAAAUAAGCCAUAUGUGAACGUCUGUAGCUCAACUAUAGAAUUGCAUAAGGAACUGUGUAACUAGAGUGCAGGAGAGGUAAGUGGAAUUCCUAGUGUAGCGGUGAAAUGCGUAGAUAUUAGGAGGAACACCAGUGGCGAAGGCGACUUACUGGACUGAAACUGACGCUGAGUCACGAAAGCGUGGGGAGCAAACAGG